rnacentral:rRNA from 1 species
AUACGGAGGGGGCUAGCGUUGUUCGGAAUUACUGGGCGUAACGCGUGCGCAGGUGGUUUUGUAAGUCAGAUGUGAAAUCCCCGGGCUUAACCUGGGAACUGCGUUUGAAACUGCAAGGCUAGAGUGUGGCGGAGGGGGGUGGAAUUCCGCGUGUAGCAGUGAAAUGCGUAGAUAUGUGGAGGAACACCGAUGGCGAAGGCAGCCCCCUGGAUCAACACUGACGCUCAGGCACGAAAGCAUGGGGAGCAAACAGGAUUAGAAACCCCGGUAGUCC